rnacentral:rRNA from 1 species
CCUACGUGUGGCAGCAGUGAGGAAUAUUGGUCAAUGGGCGCAAGCCUGAACCAGCCAAGUCGCGUGAGGGAUGACGGUCCUAUGGAUUGUAAACCUCUUUUGUCGGGGAGCAAGGCCCGCCACGUGUGGCGGUAAGGAGAGUACCCGAAGAAAACGCAUCGGCUAACUCCGUGCCAGCAGCCGCGGUCAUACGGAGGAUGCGAUCGUUAUCCGGAUUUAUUGGGUUUAAAUGGUGCGUAGGCGGAAGGUUAAGUCAGCGGUAAAAUGUCGGUGCUCAACACCGGCCUGCCGUUGAAACCGGUCUGCUUGAGUGAGCGAGAAGUAUGCGGAAUGCGUGGUGUAGCGGUGAAAUGCAUAGAUAUCACGCAGAACUCCGAUUGCGAAGGCAGCAUACCGGCGCUCAACUGACGCUGAGGCACGAAAGCGUGGGGAUCGAACAGGAUUAGAUACCCUAGUAGUC